CAUAGUGGCGCACGGGUGCGUAACGCGUAAUCAACCUACCCGAAUCUGGGGGAUAGCCCGCCGAAAGGCGGAUUAAUACCGCAUAAAACCACAGGAUGGCAUCAUCUAAUGGUUAAAGAUUUAUUGGAUUCGGAUGGGGUUGCGUGCCAUUAGCUAGUUGGGGAGGUAACGGCUCACCAAGGCGACGAUGGCUAGGGGAGCUGAGAGGCUGGUCCCCCACACGGGCACUGAGAUACGGGCCCGACUCCUACGGGAGGCAGCAGUAGGGAAUAUUGGGCAAUGGGCGAGAGCCUGACCCAGCCAUGCCGCGUGCAGGACGAAGGCUUUCUGAGUCGUAAACUGCUUUUACCAGGGAAGAAAAAAGGGGAUGCGUCCUCUACUGACGGUACCUGGUGAAUAAGCACCGGCUAACUCCGUGCCAGCAGCCGCGGUAAUACGGAGGGUGCAAGCGUUGUCCGGAUUUAUUGGGUUUAAAGGGUGCGUAGGCGGCCGAUUAAGUCCGGGGUGAAAGCCCACUGCUCAACAGUGGAACUGCCCUGGAAA
rnacentral:rRNA from 1 species